rnacentral:rRNA from 1 species
AUAACUGUACAAAGGUAGCAUAAUCAAUAGCUUUCUAAUUAAAAGCUAGAAUGAACGAUUUAAUGAAAAAAUAACUUUAUUAAAUUUUUUACAUUUAAAUUUAUAUUUAGAUAAAAAAUUCUAAAUUGUAUAAAUAGACAAAAAGACCCUAUAAAAUUUUUUAUUUAAUUGGGGAAAUUAAAAAAUUUAAUUAAUUUUUUUUAUUAAUAACAAUUAUUUUUGAAUAUAAAAAAUUUUAUAAAAAAUUAAAAUAAAUUACUUUAGGGAUAACAGUAUAA